UACAGAGGCCUCGAGCGUUAGGCGGAAUCACUGGGCUUAAAGCGUGUGUAGGUGGAUGCCUAAGUACCUUGUGAAAUCCCAUGGCUUAACCAUGGAAUUGCUUGGUAUACUGGGUGUCUUGAGCCACUCAGGGGCGAGCGGAACAAACGGUGGAGCGGUGAAAUGCGUUAGAUAAUCGUUUGGAACGCCAAUGGUGAAAACGAG
rnacentral:rRNA from 1 species